GCAAGUCGAGCGGACCGACGGGAGCUUGCUCCCUUAGGUCAGCGGCGGACGGGUGAGUAACACGUGGGUAACCUGCCUGUAAGACUGGGAUAACUCCGGGAAACCGGGGCUAAUACCGGAUGCUUGAUUGAACCGCAUGGUUCAAUCAUGAAAGGCGGCUUCGGCUGCCGUUUACAGAUGGACCCGCGGCGCAUUAGCUAGUUGGUGAGGUAACGGCUCACCAAGGCGACGAUGCGUAGCCGACCUGAGAGGGUGAUCGGCCACACUGGGACUGAGACACGGCCCAGACUCCUACGGGAGGCAGCAGUAGGGAAUCUUCCGCAAUGGACGAAAGUCUGACGGAGCAACGCCGCGUGAGUGAUGAAGGUUUUCGGAUCGUAAAGCUCUGUUGUUAGGGAAGAACAAGUACCGUUCGAAUAGGGCGGUACCUUGACGGUACCUAACCAGAAAGCCACGGCUAACUACGUGCCAGCAGCCGCGGUAAUACGUAGGUGGCAAGCGUUGUCCGGAAUUAUUGUGCGUAAAGCGCGCGCAGGCGGUUUCUUACGUCUGAUGUGAAAGCCCCCGGCUC
rnacentral:rRNA from 1 species